rnacentral:rRNA from 1 species
GUCCAGACUCCUACGGGAGGCAGCAGUGAGGAAUAUUGGUCAAUGGCCGCAGGGCUGAACCAGCCAAGUCGCGUGAGGGAUGACGGUCCUAUGGAUUGUAAACCUCUUUUGUCAGGGAGCAAAGGGCGCCACGUGUGGCGUUUUGCGAGUACCUGAAGAAAAAGCAUCGGCUAACUCCGUGCCAGCAGCCGCGGUAAUACGGAGGAUGCGAGCGUUAUCCGGAUUUAUUGGGUUUAAAGGGUGCGUAGGCGGUUUGAUAAGUUAGAGGUGAAAUGUCGGGGCUCAACCCCGAAACUGCCUCUAAUACUGUUGGACUAGAGAAUAGUUGCGGUAGGCGGAAUGUAUGGUGUAGCGGUGAAAUGCUUAGAGAUCAUACAGAACACCGACUGCGAAGGCAGCUUACCAAACUAUAUCUGACGUUGAGGCACGAAAGCGUGGGUAGCAAACAGGAUUAGAUACCCUCGUAC